rnacentral:snoRNA from 1 species
AGGCAAUGAUGCGGGCACUUCCUCAAUAGGUCAUUGAAUCUCUCCCAAGCUUCAUUCAGACUUUCUUAAUCAUGGUGGGCAAAAUCAUUAUCUCAUUGUAAAGCUU